rnacentral:rRNA from 1 species
UGGUGGAGUGAUUUGUCUGGUUAAUUCCGUUAACGAACGAGACCUCAGCCUACUAAAUAGUAGGACAAAUACCUUGUGUAUUGGUCUUCUACUUCUUAGAGGGACUUUGGGUGUUUAGCCCAAGGAAGUUUGAGGCAAUAACA